GCUUACGGCCAUACCACCCUGAACACGCCCGAUCUCGUCCGAUCUCGGAAGCUAAGCAGGGUCGGGCCUGGUUAGUACUUGGAUGGGAGACCGCCUGGGAAUACCAGUGCUGUAAGCU
ensembl:rRNA 5S_rRNA 5S ribosomal RNA